GACGAACGCUGGCGGCGUGCUUAACACAUGCAAGUCGAACGGACAGGCCCUGCUUUUGUGGGGUUCUCGAGUGGCGAACGGGUGAGUAACACGUGAGUAUCCUGCCCCUGUCUUUGGGAUAUCUUCUGGAAACUGGGGCUCAUACCGCAUAGGAGCUCCUGCUGCAUGGUGGGGGUUGGAAAGUUUCGGCGGUUCGGGAUGGACUCGCGGCUUAUCCGCUUGUUUGUGUGGUAGUGACUUACCAAGGCUUUGACGGGUAGCCGGCCUGAGAGGGUUACCGGCGACAUUGGGACUGAGAGAGGGCCCAGACUCCAACGGGAGGCAGCAGUGGGGAAUAUGGCAGAAUGGGCGGAAGCCUGAUGCAGCAACGCCGCGUGCGGGAUGACGGCCUUCGGGUUGUAAACCGCUUUCGCCUGUGACGAAGCGUGAGUGACGGUAAUGGGUAAAGAAGCACCGGCUAACUACGUG
rnacentral:rRNA from 1 species